rnacentral:rRNA from 1 species
UACGUAGGGACCAAGCGUUGUUCGGAUUUACUGGGCGUAAAGGGCGCGUAGGCGGCGUGACAAGUCACUUGUGAAAUCUCAGAGCUCAACUCUGAAAUGGCACUUGAUACUGCUCUGCUAGAGGACUGGAGAGGAGAUUGGAAUUCACGGUGUAGCAGUGAAAUGCGUAGAUAUCGUGAGGAAGACCGGUGGCGAAGGCGGAUCUCUGGACAGUUCCUGACGCUGAGGCGCGAAGGCCAGGGGAGCAAACGGG